rnacentral:tRNA from 1 species
GCCGACGUGGCGGAAUUGGUAGACGCGCUGGAUUCAAAAUCCAGUUCAGGCAACUGAGUGGGGGUUCGAUUCCCCCCGUCGGUACC